rnacentral:rRNA from 1 species
ACUGCUCAGUAACACGUCGGUAACCUGCCCUGUGGUCGGAAAUAACCUCGGGAAACUGAGGGUAAUGUCCGAUAGGAGAUUUGGCCUGGAAUGGUAUUUCUCCCAAACACGUGCCAUAGGAUGGGCCGGCGGCUGAUUAGGCUGUUGGUGGGGUAACGGCCCACCAAACCAAAGAUCAGUACGGGCCUUGAGAGAGGUAGCCCGGAGAGGGGACACUGAGAUACGGGUCCCAGCCCCACGGGGUGCAGCAGGCGCGAAACCUUUACAAUGCACGAAAGUGUGAUAGGGGGAUACUCAGUGCUUACGAUUAUGUCGUAGGCUUUUGUCAAUCGUAAAUAGAUUGGCGAAUAAGUGGUGGGUAAGACCGGUGCCAGCCGCCGCGGUAACCCCGGCGCCACAAGUGGUCAUCGCGAUUAUUGGGCCUAAAGCGUUCGUAGCCGGAGUGGCAAAUCUCUUGUGAAAUUGUUCGGCUUAACCGGACAGCGUGCAGGAGACACUACCACCCUCGAGACCGGGAGGCGUAAGAAGUAUUCCAUGGGGACUGGUAAAAUGGGAUAAUCCAUGGAAGACUACCGAUGGCGAAGGCAUCUUACGAGAACGGAUCUGACGGUGAGGAACGAAAGCCAGGGGAGCGAACCGGAUUAGAUACCCGAGUAGUCCUGGCCGUAAACGCUGUGUGCUAGGUGCUGCGUAUCUCAUGAAGAUGCGCGGUGUCGAAACGAAGGUGCUAAGCACACCGCCUGGGAAGUACGGUCGCAAGACUGAAACUUUAAGGAAUUGGCGGGGGAGCA